rnacentral:rRNA from 1 species
UGGGGAAUAUUGGACAAUGCGCGAAAGCCUGAUCCAGCCAUGCCGCGUGUGUGAAGAAGGUCUUCGGAUUGUAAAGCACUUUAAGUUGGGAGGAAGGGCAUUAACCUAAUACGUUAGUGUUUUGACGUUACCGACAGAAUAAGCACCGGCUAACUCUGUGCCAGCAGCCGCGGUAAUACAGAGGGUGCAAGCGUUAAUCGGACUUACUGGGCGUAAAGCGCGCGUAGGUGGUUUGUUAAGUUGGAUGUGAAAUCCCCGGGCUCAACCUGGGAACUGCAUUCAAAACUGACUGACUAGAGUAUGGUAGAGGGUGGUGGAAUUUCCUGUGUAGCGGUGAAAUGCGUAGAUAUAGGAAGGAACACCAGUGGCGAAGGCGACCACCUGGACUAAUACUGACACUGAGGUGCGAAAGCGUGGGGAGCAAACA